rfam:Picea glauca, whole genome shotgun sequence.
UUAUGUAGAUGCCUAUACUGUUAAUGCACUAUAUCCUAUUGGAAAUCUAUCGUUAAGUGUGCUUGGGAUAAAGUAGUACUAGGAUGAGUGAGCUCUCAAGAAGUCCUAGUGUUUUACAUGCC